UGAGUAACCUGCCCUUAACUCUGGGAUAAGCCUGGGGAACUGGGUCUAAUACCGGAUAUGACUCCUCAUCGCAUGGUGGGGGGUGGAAAGCUUUUUGUGGUUUUGGAUGGACUCGCGGCCCAUCAGCUUGUUGGUGAGGUAAUGGCUCACCAAGGCGACGACGGGUAGCCGGCCUGAGAGGGUGACCGGCCACACUGGGACUGAGACACGGCCCAGACUCCUACGGGAGCAG
rnacentral:rRNA from 1 species